rnacentral:tRNA from 1 species
GGCUUUAUAGUCAAAAAUUAUGAUAUUAGACUGCAAUUCUAAAGUUAGGUAAAUAUAAUUAACCCUUAAAGCUU